rnacentral:rRNA from 1 species
GAUUGAACGCUGGCGGCAGGCCUAACACAUGCAAGUCGAGCGGAUGAAGGGAGCUUGCUCCUGGAUUCAGCGGCGGACGGGUGAGUAAUGCCUAGGAAUCUGCCUGGUAGUGGGGGAUAACGUCCGGAAACGGGCGCUAAUACCGCAUACGUCCUGAGGGAGAAAGUGGGGGAUCUUCGGACCUCACGCUAUCAGAUGAGCCUAGGUCGGAUUAGCUAGUUGGUGGGGUAAAGGCCUACCAAGGCGACGAUCCGUAACUGGUCUGAGAGGAUGGUCAGUCACACUGGAACUGAGACACGGUCCAGACUCCUACGGGAGGCAGCAGUGGGGAAUAUUGGACAAUGGGCGAAAGCCUGAUCCAGCCAUGCCGCGUGUGUGAAGAAGGUCUUCGGAUUGUAAAGCACUUUAAGUUGGGAGGAAGGGCAGUAAGUUAAUACCUUGCUGUUUUGACGUUACCAACACAAUAAGCACCGGCUAACUUCGUG